AAUAGGUGGAUCGCUCUCAAUGGGAUGAGCUGUUAGCGUAUAAUGGAAAAGCUGUACAAUAGGUUUGUAGGGAUCAACAAGGCUUGCAUUUUGCAUUGGCGGUCCAUAUGGUCAUGGUCCUCGAGUUCGUGAGCGUGCCGACGUAACUAUUAGAUUAGAUGGGGCGAAAGUAGUUGAGUUCUCAAUUGUUUGUUGGUAAAGAGAAGUUAAUGAAUUUAACUAAAUGAAGGACAUGAUGAUGAGU